GGUGUUAAGUCUGAAGUUAUCAGUGUUCUUGUAGCAUACUGGGAAAACGGGAGGGAGGGGAAAGGCCGAAAGUUGAAAGCUUUGGUUCCAAUGAAUUUGUGUUGGAAAUUAUUUUAUAGAAGAUGUACUGAAUGCCUGAGCAAAGAGGGGAAUCUGUGGUGUGGGUUGUUUUAAGAUGAGUCCUUGGGCUUUGUUUUUGGCCUCUUGCCCCUGAAGGGCCGUGUGGCAGAGCUGGCAGCAGCAGAGACCAGCAGUGCACUGAGAGCAAUCUCUGAAGGUUUAACAAACCUUCAAUUACAGUCAGUUUCUACAGAAGAAAACGCCUUUAUCUCGCUCUUCUUGAUCAGUAACAAAGUAUUCCAAAGCUCAGUUGUUAAUACAAAUCUCUUAAGAAGCUUUUUAAAAACUACAGUUAUUUUAGCUACAAGAGUACCAGGAUCACUGCAGGACUGCAUGGUUGCUGCCCUGGUGGGAUUUUUGCUUCGUGUUGUUGAUUUUCAGAUCAACUGACAGCAAUAUGAUCUGCACCUCGCCUGAACAUCAGCCUGUUCAACAUCACAAUUGAAUUGGAUGUUUUUUCUGUUCAGUGCUGUGGUCAGAGGUGUGUGUGGUGUGCAGGGGAGGUUCUUCCCUGAUCGCAGUAUGAGCAGGAAAUAAAAAUCAUUUUAAAAUGUAUUUUCAAGUCAAUGUUUUAAGUUCACCUUGCUUCUGCUGCAGAGGAGUGUUAAGGAUCCUGUCAGCAUGCCUGGCUCCAUUAUUUCAGUAAACUCUUGCAGUAUAAACGGUCUCAUGUGAAACCAGCUUUUAAAUCAGAGUCACAGAAUGGCCUGGGUUGAAAAGGCCCACAAUGCUCAUCUUGUUUCAACCCCCCUGCUGUGUGCAGGGUCGCCAACCACCAGACCAGGCUGCCCAGAGCCACAUCCAGCAUAAAUACAUGAGUACGUUAUAAUGAGUCAGAUUUUGGUAACCAUGACUCACAUGGACAGUGCUGACAAUAUUUGCUAGAUGGUAGUUUUUUCUUGCAGUCUGUGGUGCAACAAAAUCAGUUCAGUGCAUGCAUCCUGCAAAUCUUGUAUCCUAUGUACCUGUAACUUUCAAGCUGUAGUGAAUAGGUCACUGCAUUGUUGUGGUUCUUCCAGGCCUGCUCUGGACUUGCUGUCCAAGUAUGGUGUGCCCAUACAGACAUCUUUUCCUUACCCUUUUGUUGCUGAUGCUUUUCACAUUUACAGAUGUAGAUGUGCUGUAUGCAGCAUUAUUGCGCACCGUGAUAAGAGAGGGGCUUGGAUCUAUUUGCUGUCAGGCUGUGGCAGGUGCCAUAAAAAAACAGAAAGGAUAUCACCUACUCUGUCUUCUGAGCUCUGCUUUCAUUUAGUUAGCAGCUGAUUUGCCCUAAGCAGAAUUCCUGCAGUAUGUUAUAAACAACCUGGCUGGCUUCCUUUGUAGCCUGAAGCACUUCAAUUUGGGGAUUUAUUUAUUUUGGAAGAAAGUUGGCUUUGGCCUUUUUAUUUUGUUGGUUUUUUGAAUCUUUUUAGCUUGGUUUGCUCACAAGCUGCCUCACGCAUCAGCAUGAAAUAGUUACACGCACCGAGCUUUUUGCUAUCUUGACUUAUUCCAGUUUGGUUCUCCUUGCUACUAAAUACUCACCUGUGAUGUGUAAAUUGCAGGAAGCCAACUCUGAGCCUGUGUUUUACAACUUCAGUACCCACUCCAACCCAGGUCUGAACCGAUGCAUCUCCACUUCUUUAGUUUUUCACCUUGAGGAGUUAUUCUGGUGGAGUUAAAAAUGCAGCAGUCCCAACAGGGUCAGAAAAAGACAACUCAGUCCUCAGUACUGUAGAGAUGCAUCAGAAUUAAAACAUGACUCUACAGCUGUGCUCACAGUUGCUUUUGUUUGCAUGUUAUUGCACUUGUACGUUUAUCCCGUAAGACAGGAGAAUGCAUGAAGUUAUUUGAUCAUGCAGUGACAUAGAAGCUUGUCUGGCUACAGGCUGUGCACUGAAAUCCAUUUUCAGCUUUAUGUGUGACCUCCUAAUUGAGGGCACAAUGGAAAUCGCAUCGAACGUGAUUGGAAUGGACAGUGGUAGCCAAGCGUUGUCCUGCAGUCUUUUGUCGUGUACCUCAAGUGGCUGGAGCAGGCUGACAUAACUACAUUUUUCCUCAUCAGUGUCUGUAGUUCAUGCUGGAAGCAGGUGCCCGAUGCCUGAUCACAGCUGGGCAAGUAAAACAGUUCACACAAUAAUCUGUGCUCUGUUUGAUGUCUUUUCUAUUGGCAAGAUUCUACUAAAUCUCUGAUGUGUGCGAGGAGGAAGAUAGAGGCAGGUCAGGAAUGGAUGAAUUUCUGUAGGUGGAAGCAUAAGAGGAGGAUUCUCUGUCACUGUUGUCUUCUCAUAAGCUGCUUUCAGCCUGGAGAAAGAUGGUAAUUAGAGUGGACAGAAUCUUAAGCUUUUGACUUGCCUCGCCAGCAGUGCCAGGUUUCCCAGUCCUCUAAAAUAUCUGUGCUCUGUGCUGGUUCUGUAGCACGCUUAGCUGUGUGUACCAGAUGGGUGGAUGGAGCCUUUUGUUCUGUUCUGGCCUCGACCUUGAAGUCACAAUCAUCUGACGCUAUGGGGGACAUUUGGACAUUAUCAUCCUGGCUGGUACAGCUAUGUGACCAUUGUCAAAAGAAGGCAAGACUUAACUAGCUGGGAAGUGUUUAGAUGGACUGCAUGCUGGUAACAAGCAGGAAAGGCUGUCUGAAGGUUUACAGACACCAUGGUGAGCAGAGCUCUCGUACCUGCCCUAGUAAAUAAUCCAGUUAGCAGGGUAGCACUGCUAUGUAUGUGGAGAUUCAUGGUGCAUGUCCUUCUAUGUCCUUUCUUGUGUCCUUAGAGGUUUAAAUAGAGAAUUUGUCAGCAAAAGCACAGAGAAGGAGGUCUUUGACAUAAUAUGGCCCUAGACCUCGUAGAGCUUACAGCUUCAAGUCAACAUCUUGAAUUCAACUUGGGCAGAUGGAGCAUUAAAUUCAACUGUAUCUGGUUGCUGUAGAGCAAAGCCACAAAGCUAUCUCAAACGCAAGUACUAUUAGAUAGGUAUCACUUAGGGACAUUCUAAAAUGAAAUGACACGUUCUGACAUUCUUGCAGGAGAUGCUAUGCUGCCUUUGUGAUCUGAUGGAUAAUGUUUUCUGCCACCUGGGUAGAAAGAAGAGAUCAUGUGUUUUCUUUCUUUAGUCUCCUAUCUCAACAGAGUGCGGAGUUGGUUCCUGUCUGGACCUGAAUUAAUCUUUAUGAAGAUUGUUAAUACCAUUCUUGCUUCGAGCUACUGAAAAGAGAAGGGGAGCAGCGAGGGGAAAAAAAAGAGAGAUUAAAGGGAAAAAAGCAGUAGGUUAUACAUGCAUUUUCCUCUGUGCUGCAGGUUAAAUAAUACCCUAUGCAUGUGAAAGAGAUACUGUGAUUAAGGAGCUGUCAGGCAGAACGAGAGUUGGGCAGCAAAGGGAGCAGAGAUGCUUGAGGGAAAAGGGCAGAAAGAGUAGAUCCGUGCAUGCUGCUUCGUGUGAGAACUUGUGAGAACUCUUCAGCUAUUGCAGAGCCUCUGGAAGCGUAGCUGUCAUCAUAUGCCUCCUGUUGGAAUUGGCGAACGGCAGGCACUCACUUUUUAGUCAGGUCAGUAUAUAUAUUUGACCUGUCCUGAGUUGCAUUUUCAUGCUGCACAGACGCCAGCCAUUCCCAGAGGCUCUCCUCACACUGCAGGAAGGUGCCUGUGUAAGCUGAGCUUCAGACGGGAUGAUAUGCCUGUCUCCUCUCAUAAGCUUUUUACUUGCAUUUGGUGGGUAAUGUAUCACAGAACUGGCAAUAAACAUGGAAGAACUUGUGUUGUUAAAAUGCAAUGCAAAGCUCUGUAUUUCUCUGGCUUCCCACUGCAGGGGGUUUACAGCCCCCCUCAGCUUCCUUGGCAGAACACAAUGCACUGUUCAGCUUUUGACUGGUACAGAAUAGUGGCUAAAGCAGAAGAGGAAAAGAUAAGAAGGCUCAUUGUCCAUAGUGAAAACAAGGAAAACCCUAAAAUGUGGAAAACUACAGGUGGAAUGGAAAUGAAUGGCUGUUGAAUGGAGGUCUGGGUGGUAGGAUGGCCCUUCCGACUGGGUUGGGUCCAGCAGAGAUGGAUUCUGCAGAAGUGCACGUGUAACCAUUACAGCAGAGCUCUCCAGGAAUGUUUUCUACCACUGAGGUGAGGAAAACAUGGAGUUAACAGUCUGACAGAUACAUUAAAGCAGAGCAUGUUGGGAUGGGGUAAUUACUGUAAAUCACUCAGAUUCACUUACGUAUAUUAGGUUGGAUGGGAACAGGGGGAUAUCCUUACCUUAGUGCUGAGUACAGACCGCAGUGAUGUUGGCUCUGCUGGCUCUUUGCUCUCUGUCUGUUUUUGUGCUUUGCUAAAACAAUACAGCUCCUUGCUGGCUCCCUUUUAAGGUGAGGCAGCGCCUCGGUGAUUCAUAUUCAGCCUGCAGGAAAACCACUGAACAAAAUUCUGUGAAGUUUUCCUGGUGGUGGUGGUGGACUGAGUCAGUGAUAGAUACAAACCUGUGUGUAUCUUCAGUUGUUCCCAGAAUAGGAUUCCACUGCUUUAAAAAGCCUUCCCACCCCAGGACAGUUUGCCACUUAGAGAGACAGGGUCAGCGCUUAACCUCCUUUCUGUUGCGGUGCACAGCGAGCAUUAAAACCAGCAGACAGACGUGUCCUUGCAGGGAGACUGUCUGCCUGGGAGCUCCCCACGGGGAGGCAAUCAGCCCCUGCCAUUGGCAAAGAGCUCUCACCCACUCAGCAGCAUUAAUCAGGGUUGACUGUUCCUCUUAAUCCUCUGAUCCCUUCCAUAAGGACGAGAACACAAGCGUGGCGUUUGCGUGUUAUGCUCUUCUUUGCUGACAGUGGGCCUGGCUCCUUGGUUGGUGAUUAGAGGGGUGGGUGAUCAAAACAUGAUUAGCAAAUCUGCAAUUAGAGUGAAGGCCAGGAGGGCAGGGGCUCACUGCGAGGAAGGGUCACAACUGCUAUGUGUCAGAAUCGAAGUAAAUAUGUGAAAGGACAGGGGAUUUAGCUGCACUCUUGUCUGAUGAGACUGCAAAUAGCCAAGGCACUGCUGGGAAGAUGCUUUGAGCACUGGAAUUUUAGAAACAAACAGCAAGCGAGGGGAGGCUUUCCUCCUGGACCAGGUAGUUUUGAAAAGCACUUUUUAAAGCAACAGAGGUCGUUCAUGUGGCUUAAAACACGGGCUCAGAAAUUGGGAUAUCAAUUCUUAGUUUUAGCCCGGAUGCUUUCUCUGACUGAUGCACAGGAACUAAAUUAAUCAUUUUCUUCAGCAGCUGGACAGCAAAGGUGCUCCCAGUGCCCUGCAGAGGUUCGUGAGCCUUUAAUAUAUCAGUGUGUGAAAUGCUUUGGGACUUUGGAAGAGGUCUAGCAAACCCAUAGACUGGUCUUGCCAGACAAGAUGAAUUGGAACAGGGAGUUCAUGUCACGAGCAACAGUUUGCUUGAAACCAACUGCAAGACAAAUAAUGGCAUGUUUUGGCUGCUCUUUUGGUUUAUGAAAAGCAAAGGUGAUAAGGAAAAUAUGGCAACCAGACCUCUGUCUCAGAAGGCCUUGUCAGUAAUGUUGAUCUUGCAAAAUAUUCUUGAUUCUGAGGACUUUUUAUAGCGUAGUGUAUUUAAAGUGUCAAUUCUUGUGCAUCUCAAGAUUGGUUUUGAAAUGGGACUGGUGGUUUGAGAUAGAUAUGGUCAUGUAAUGGUAGGGAGUUGAUAAAUGCCUUAAUGAAAAUAACACACAGAAUUUCUAGAGAGGCUUUUGUCCUAGGAUCUUAAAGUACUUUACAAACAUUAGUUAAUGAAGUCUUGCUGCAUCCUUGUGGAAUAGGCAACUGGCAUUAAAUUGAGAGGAUAAAUGAGGCAUAGGGAGAUUAAAGGACUUGUCUGCGGGUAGAAUCAGUCAGUGGUACUGAAAGGAACAGCACAGCAGCCCUGUCCCCCUUCUCAAACCUUCCUUUUGUGCAUAUGUACAGCAAGAGCCAUCUGAAUGGGGUCAAUACAGUUGGGUACUGAGAUCAGCUUGGGGUGGUUGUGGUGAUGCUGGGUUCUUUUUUGGUCUGUAGAGGAAAUAAUGAUGACAACAGUCUUUCAGAGAGCCCUUGUAGGUAAUUUUGGUCUGCUAGUCAACCUUCAAACUAAAAAAUAUUCCAGAUGGUGUUUUCAGAAAAGGCAGAGCAAGCUUUUCCAACACUGAUGCCUGUCUACUGGGGUUUUAUUUCUCUUCUUCCCCAAGGGACUCAAAGGCAAUGCAGUACAAGGGGGGGGGUGGGGGGAAGAAAUAAGAUAAAAUAAAAACAGUAGUGGAAGCAGGCACAGUUCGAGGCAUUUUGCCGUUAUAAACAAUCAUCAGAUUUCCUUUUUGGUAAGACUUGCCCCAGAUAGCAGUAAAUAGUGAAUGUCUGCUGCUGUCUCUGGGAAUGAAUGAGUGACAUUCAUUCUGCUGGGUGACACCUUUGCUUCCUGCACUGGAGAUCUGCACCCGAGGGACCUGGGGAGGAGGGAUGGUGCCACACAAUAUGCUAUUAAUUUUCUGCCUGUUGCAGGAAUACAAAAUAUUUUGAUCCUCCUUUUCCUCCUUCCCCAAACAAGCACGUACAGAAAGGAAUUAGUCUUAAGAGAAAGAAAUAUCUUGUAGGUGUUUGUGGAGUACACCUAUAACUAUUUAAUUUAGUCAAAGAAAGCCACUCGCACUGUUGUCUUAUGGUGGUAAGCAAGCAUUUUUUGUUCCUUAAUGUUUCCUAGGAACAUCCUCCCUGCUGGGUGUUCAUUUGUAAAUUGUAAACCAUCUUGGCUGACUCUUUGUUGUAACUUCUCUUUUUUUUCUAAAAUGUCAUUGAUUUUAAUGGCUGUCAGUGGGAGAAGAGAGAUCUUGCUAACAGUGGGCUGCGAUAAGUUGCAGAUAAGCAGUGUGUGGAAGUGCUGGUCCCAUCCAUACGGCCCUGCUGCUGCAGCCAGUGAUUACAGUGCUGCUUGUACUACUGGAGGCUUGUAAUUUGGUUUCCCUUUAGAAGCCUCUGACACUGCAGCCCAACAGGAGAGCAUCUGCUUUUCUUCUUGCUGAAGAGCACUGCCGAACCUUCUCUGUAAAGCUCGCUUAAAAACCUAUUGCUAGAUUUCACUAAUAUGUAAUAAUUUGGCUCCUUUUACCUACACAAAAUUACUUAUCUAAAUAAAAUGCAAGAAUAGUGUCUAACCGAAGGGGAAAAUAAAGAGUAUAAAUGUGUUAAUUACCAAAAUACCAGACAUGUAAUUAAUAUGCCAGAGGAACAAAGAGCAAAUGUACUAAUAGCACAUAAUUGGACUUAAACUACACCCUUGGUAGAAGUCUCUGCAAUGGAACUCUUGUGUUUGUGCUCCUUUUCAAAUUAGCAGUGAGGAAUAAAUUAACAUCCAUUUUCUUGCUCUCACAAAGGCAGAAUCAUAUUGUGGGGCGCAGUAAUGAAUUCAGAGAAUGCCUUUACAUUCCCGUAUGGCUCUCAGGGAUGGGAGUGCUGAUGCUCAUAGCUCUCCUCUUCCUCACAGCAAAGCAAGCAGAGAGAAGAGGAAAACGUCAUUGCGUGACCAGAUGUCCAAUGAGUACCACGAUCCUAAAUAUAAAAUUGAGUAUUUUAUAGCUGAGUAUUUUAAGCGUUUUCACCCUAUCUGGUGCAAAUACCUGAAGUAUUUCCACAAAUGUAAGUUUAUCUAUCCAUUAUUUUAUGUGCUGUAUGUGAUUCCAUUAUGUUUUCAGAUAAAUAUGUAAGGAAAGGAUUAGUCCUUGACCCAGAGGGACAAUAUAGGACAGAACUUGAAAGGCAACCCAAGGCUGCUCUUUUUCUUUUUAGCACAACGUAAGUCACUUGUUCAGUUCCAUGCGUAAAUGAGGAAGUUAAAGCAGUUGUUAACGUGGCCAAGGCUUGCUGUGCUGCUCUUCAGAACAGGUUUGCACAGUAGAACAGCAUAGAACCACAGGAGUCCUUGUUUUCCAUGGACACACAUUCUGGAAUGGCUUGUCUGGAGUAUACCUGACUUUAAUUCUUCCUUUAUUGUGUUAGUAGGAGAUGAGUACAAUCACUUUGCUGCUGCCUGUUUCUCUUGCUGUACUCUCUCCCUCUUUGUCUUCAGCAGUGUCUUACUGAGCUUUAUAAAUAAUUGAUUGAAUGCUGUUUGGAGGCCACAGUGGUUUCGGGGAUUUAGGAGGCCCCAGUACCCCUUGGAAUAAGGAAAUCAAUCUUGGAAGGAACCAGUCCCAUUUCAUUCAGGCUCCACUCUGAUUCAUCUCCUCCAACUUACGAUAGCUAUUGUGGCACCAGAUGGAAAGAAACACCUGUUUUUAUUAUGCCUCAGUUUUCCUGAGGUCCCUAAGUCAGGUCUGGAUUUUUAUCUCAAGUCUUGGAAGUGGCCCUGUCUGCACGUGGUUCGAGGUGCUUCAGGGUGUUACAGUCUUUCCGCUCUCCUAUAAAUGCAAAUGGAAAGCUUAGAAAUGGUCCUACUCUGUUGUAACGCACCUGUCAUCGCAGUAUCCAGGCACCUGCCUUUCUGCUCCUCAGAAGCCUUGUGGGAGUGCAUUAAUUAAUGCAUGUGAAAUGCUUGGAGGUCCUAGGAUGGUAGGUGCUAAUGAGUUGUAAGAUAUUAUAAUCGUGUUGCAGAAUAUGCAGCCCAUCUCUUAGUGCAGAAAGGCUUGCAGCUUUCCUUCGUUGCUUUCAUGCUUCUGGAUGCAUAUUUUGCAAGAGAAGGUAAUUCUAAACAGGAAAGAAGUAACGAACAAGAUGGAAGGAUUGCUAAUGCUGGUGCUUUUGUUGAGGAAGCGGCCGUUUCUAUGUGCUUCUUUGCUUAUUCCAUUUUCUUUUUGUCUCUCUGAUAAACCCAUACUUCAGUGGCUCGUUGAGAAUUCUCUGAAUGUUCAGAAAUGUCAGGGGAGAAGAUUUGCUGCUUCAGAUUGCCAGGGCCUUCAUUUGCAUCGCCUAAAUCAAUUCUCACACAUGAUCAAAGCACUUCUAGAAACAUUCAAGUGCAGGCAAAACCAGUCCCCUAAUUCUUUCUCCUCUAAUAUAUACACCCAGGUUCCAAAGCAUUAAAAAGGACAAAAUUAUCAGCCACCAAAUUUAAAAAUGCUUUAAUUUAAUGCCUCUUUAUGUUGAGAAUAUUGCAACUCUGUAUGUUUAGGGAUAGCAAGGCUAGGAAAGAUGUAGGUGGGAGUGGAGGGACCUGCAGUGGAGCUGAAAUACAGAUUCUAAGAAACUGCUCUGUUGUUGUCUGCAUGUAAUAUUUUGCUUGGCUGUGCAUGCAACUCUAUCAUGAGCUUAAUUACUUUACAGCAUAGUCUCUAUGGCAAUUGGUCUCCUUUCAGCACCGGUUUCAGGGCAGCUGUGAUAAAGCAAAUGCUCCAUAGAUGAGAUGCAGCUGGGUUCUGGGUUUGACUUCUCUUUAAAAGCAAUCAUAUUUGGGAAGUAAGCUAAUGUGCAUACAUUAAUUGAAGGAGUGAGACAAAAAUCAAGCCAAGGCCAGUUCUAUUCUCUUUAAAUAAAGACCCAACCAUUUUCUCAACCCACUUCCAGACUAUUUGAAGCCUGAACCCCCCUUUCCCCUCAGCUCCCCUUUGGAACAAGGGUCCAGAAUUACUAUCUAGAUACAGGGCACGCUGAGUGCAUUCAAAAUCAGUUAUGAGCCUGAGAUGUAACAGUCAGACACAGAUUUGCUGGUUACUUCAUUCAACGUGUCUCACAUCCCUCUCUAUGUGCGAUAUGCACCGUCCUCCUUCGAGCAGCAAGCAGGCUACCGCAUUCAUCUUUACCUAUCACCUUAUCUUUUCAUUUCUGGCUGCUCAGCUCCAUUCUGAAAAGUGCAAUAAAUACGUGUCCCCCUGGGUCCUUGCAAGCUGGGCAUUAGUCACACCAUGCGUUUCAAGGGCAUCAGUCUGAUAGUUUUUCAGCUGUAACAGAAAACAUGUUCUGCCAGGAGCCAUUUGUUCCAGUUUUGUUGCUUACUAAUAAAAUCAAAAUCAAUGUGUUUUUUGAGCUCGAGAAGCAGGUCGGAGAGUAGGAGGGAGAUAGGUGGUAAAAAUGGAGGUGCUGAAGUUGGAUCUUGUGAGUUUCUCUUGAAAUAAUGGCAUGUGGCAUUUCAGAGCAAGUGAGAAGCUCUGGCAGCUUGUGAAAGGCAGUCACCUCUGGCAAGCAGCAGAGCGGCUGCUUAACAGCAAAUAGGACUGGUGCAUAGCUUCACAUUGGGCAAUUUAAAUCCAAUUCUGUAAUAUGAAAGGCAUUGAGAGGGUGUUUUAUUUGCCGUGCUUCUGGAUUAAGUGCCAGUGGAACAUCCGUGGUGACACGGAUCACUUCCAAUUUCUCGUCUCUGCUGCAGAUGGAGUGCUCCCAUAUCACCAGUUCCUCAACCACUGACGUGCCAGUUCAAACCAGUUAGUCAUCUACCCAAGCAAAAUCAUCUAGCUGAGCUUAAAAUAUGGCCUGUUGGCUUUACUGAAUCAGUGCCUUAGUCACAGCUGCUUCGGAGGAGUUUUGCUCAGAGGAAGAUGCAAUCAAUGCCUUCUCUUGCCUUGGAAUUUUCCCAGUUUCGUCAUGACUGAUUCAGCUGAUGAAUUUCUCUGAGCUGACACUGUCGCCCUGCAAUAAAUGAAGCUUACCUGGACACGGCAUUUCUUCUCUCAACAAUGUCUGUUUUCUUUGGAAUCGUUUAGAUGAGUCAGGAUGGUAACACCGCAGCCCCCUCCUCGCUGUGGUCAGAGGUCCCUGGAGGUUUUCAGAAGGGUAACUGCGUGGUGCUGAGGGAUAGAGGGGAUGGGGAUGGGCUGGGGGUGUGCUGGAUGCUCUUGGUAAUCUUUUCCAACCUUUAUGCUUCUAAAGGCGGAGCGCUCUUCCCCAUGUGAAUGUGUUAGAGUGGACUAUGGGGCGAAUUCUGCUCUUCCUCUGUCAAGAUGAGUGAGCCUGGAGUGAUCUGCAGUUUAAAGGUAAACAUUAUUUUGCAGAAAUUGGGUUAGAUUAGGGGUUUGUAUGUGCCUGCAUGCCAGCUGCCCACUGACUUCUAGGCCCCCUUCAGAUACCUUUUUAUUGGUAUUCAAACUCCAUUAUAUUCCUAAUUCAAAAUGAAUACUUAUGCAAAAGAUGGUUUAGACCAUGCAUACACCAAUGGGCAAUCACCUUAACCUCUCCUUGCAGAUCCACGCACGUGGGGUGGUUCUCCAUGCGAUAAGUCAGGGAGAGAGUCGUGCUGAGCUGGGCAGCCCUUCCACUCUUGGUACAAAGAAAAAUAGAUGAUGUAGCAUGCUGUCAGCUGAAGCUGCGUUGGCAGAAUGUAAGGACUCAGCUCUCUGGCAACAGAUGGGCUACAGGCUUCUUCUGACACGAUCUGCCAUCCAGCAUAUGUUAGGCUGAGACACCAAGGGGGUUUAGACUGAGGCUUUACCUUUAAAGAAACAAAAUGUCUUAGCUGCUGCUGAGCAGGUGGCCUUACAGCAUGCAGUCAAUGGGACGAACGUGACUGCUUGGUUGUGUGGUGAGGGGAUGGUCUCAUAGCACAGGGCAGGAACUGGAGCGCCAUUCGUUGUAGUGAGCCAUGAUGGAUUUCUCUUGGAAUUCCUCUUCUCUGCACAUCAUCAUAUUGGCACAUUUACGUAAGGGUGGCUGGUUUGAAGGAUGGAAAACCCUCGGUGGGGGCAGAGCAGCCUCUGCAAUAUCCAAAUGCAUUGUCUUGCCAGUUUGACCUCUUGCUGCAAGCACUGUCUUGAUAUUUAAGUCACAGUGCUUUAGAAUACACACCUCAUCUUUGGGGUCUUGACUGUUCUGGGUUUUAUUUGUAUUUCCCCGUGGGAGCAAUGGCCAAUUGGUACAAACCACAAGCAGUCAUACCUAAGUAUGAACUGCCUUGCUUGCAUUUUCUCCAUCAAAACUCUGACUACGGCAAUUCUUCUCUUUAAGCACCUUCCAAUUGCAACUCUUGGCCGGAGCACCAAGAGCUUUCCUAUCACAGCGCAGGUUCGGUGUGAUCUAUUCCUAUUCAGUGCUAUUUUUCUGGUAGCACUUGCAGAUUAUCCCAUACACAACUUGCGGCCCUGUGCCCUGGCAGGACUGGGCCUGGAGGGCUUCCCUCAGCGCGGAGGGUUCAGGUGGAGCCGCUGCCGUUUGCACAGGGGUAGCUGUGGGGCCCUGCAGGUUGUUCUGUGCCCCUCUGCUGCCCUUGCUGGCUGGGGUUAGUGAAACCUCAGCCUUUUUCUUUUCUUUUUUUCCUUUUUUUGCUGCAAGAAGAGCACUAACAGCAUUUAAAUGGCUCCAUCGGGGCUUUAACUCUUGCUGCAGCGGUGCUCUUCUCGUCCAUCCGUGCUCAGCUCGGCUCCGGACAACCGGCCGCCCCCUCAGCUGCGCAAAAAGCCCAUCGCCGCCAGCCGCCCCGCAGCUGCGCCCGCGUUGCCGUAGCGCCCGGCGGGGCUCCUCCCGCCCCUCCCCCGCCCG
rnacentral:lncRNA from 1 species